CAGCCGCCGCGGGAAUACGAAGGGUGCAAGCGUUACUCGGAAUUACUGGGCGUAAAGCGUGCGUAGGUGUGGUUUAAGUCCGUUGUGAAAGCCCUGGGCUCAACCUGGGAAUUGCAGUGGAUACUGGGUCACUAGAGUGUGGUAGAGGAUAGUGGAAUUUCCGGUGUAGCAGUGAAAUGCGUAGAGAUCGGAAGGAACAUCUGUGGCGAAGGCGACUAUCUGGGCCAACACUGACACUGAGGCACGAAAGCGUGGGGAGCAAACAGGAUUAGAUACCCCAGUAGUCCCUGUCUCUUAUACA
rnacentral:rRNA from 1 species